rnacentral:tRNA from 1 species
GCCUCCAUAGUUCAGUAGUUAGAUUACUGGUCUUCUAAACCAGGGGUUGAGAGUUCAAUUCUCUCUAGAGGCA